rnacentral:rRNA from 1 species
GCCUCUUGAUAAACCAUAAGAGGUCCAGCCUGCCCAGUGACAUUGUUCAACGGCCGCGGUAUCCUAACCGUGCGAAGGUAGCGUAAUCACUUGUCCCUUAAAUGGGGACUAGUAUGAAUGGCCCCACGAAAGCUAUACUGUCUCCUUUCUCUAAUCAGUUAAACUAAUCUCCCCGUGAAGAAGCGGGGAUAAACAUGCAAGACGAGAAGACCCUAUGGAGCUUUAAACAAUUGAAACACUUGCAUUUUAUUUGUAAACCCACAUGAAACUUCACACUUUGUUUCUAGUUUUAGGUUGGGGUGACCGCGGAGAAAAAACUAACCUCCACGCUGAAAGAGUUUUACCUCUAAACAAAAAGCUACAUCUUUAUGUAUUAAUAUAUUAACCUUAAUUGACCCA